rnacentral:rRNA from 1 species
GCCUAGCCAUAAAUCUCGAUGCUUUUCCCCACCAAAGCAUCCGCCCGAGAACUACGAGCACAAACGCUUAAAACUCUAAGGACUUGGCGGUGCUCCAAACCCACCUAGAGGAGCCUGUUCUAUAAUCGAUAAUCCACGAUACACCUCACCAUCUCUUGCCAAACAGCAGCCUACAUACCGCCGUCGCCAGUUCACCUCAUCAGAGCCCAACAGUGAACACAACAGCCCAAACCCGCUAAUAAGGCAGGUCAAGGUAUAGCCCACGAGAUGGCAGAAAUGGGCUACAUUCUCUAAAAUAGAGCACCCACGAAAGGGAGCAUGAAAUCGCCCCCAGAAGGUGGAUUUAGCAGUAAAGCGGAACAAUAGAGUCCCCUUUAAGCUGGCCCUGGAGC